GCCUGGGUGGCUUGGUCGGUUAAGCGUCUGACUUCGGCUCAGGUCACCAUCUGACGGUCCGUGAGUUCGAGCCUCGCGUCGGGCU
rnacentral:tRNA from 1 species